rnacentral:rRNA from 1 species
GUAACGCGUAUGCAACUUACCUAUCAGAGGGGGGAUAACCACGGCGAAAGUCGGACUAAUACCGCAUAAAGCAGGGGCCCCGCAUGGGGAUAUUUGCUAAAGAUUCAUCGCUGAUAGAUAGGCAUGCGUUCCAUUAGGCAGUUGGCGGGGUAACGGCCCACCAAACCGACGAUGGAUAGGGGUUCUGAGAGGAAGGUCCCCCACAUUGGUACUGAGACACGGACCAAACUCCUACGGGAGGCAGCAGUGAGGAAUAUUGGUCAAUGGGCGUAAGCCUGAACCAGCCAAGUCGCGUGAGGGAUGAAGGUUCUAUGGAUCGUAAACCUCUUUAUAAGGGAAUAAAGUGCGGGACGUGUCCCGUUUUGUAUGUACCUUAUGAAUAAGGAUCGGCUAACUCCGUGCCAGCAGCCGCGGUAAUACGGAGGAUCCGAGCGUUAUCCGGAUUUAUUGGGUUUAAAGGGUGCGUAGGCGGCCUUUUAAGUCAGCGGUGAAAGUCUGUGGCUCAACCAUAGAAUUGCCGUUGAAACUGGGGGGCUUGAGUAUGUUUGAGGCAGGCGGAAUGCGUGGUGUAGCGGUGAAAUGCUUAGAUAUCACGCAGAACCCCGAUUGCGAAGGCAGCCUGCCAAGCCAUGACUGACGCUGAUGCACGAAAGCGUGGGGAUCAAACAGGAUUAGAUACCCUGGUAGUCCACGCAGUAAACGAUGAUCACUAGCUGUUUGCGAUACAGUGUAAGCGGCACAGCGAAAGCGUUAAGUGAUCCACCUGGGGAGUACGCCGGCAACGGUGAAACUCAAAGGAAUUGACGGGGGCCCGCACAAGCGGAGGAACAUGUGGUUUAAUUCGAUGAUACGCGAGGAACCUUACCCGGGUUUGAACGCAUUCGGACCGAGGUGGAAACACCUUUUCUAGCAAUAGCCGUUUGCGAGGUGCUGCAUGGUUGUUGUUAGCUCGUGCCGUGAGGUGUCGGCUUAAGUGCCAUAACGAGCGCAACCCUUGCCACUAGUUAGUAACAGGUUAGGCUGAGGACUCUGGUGGGACUGCCAGCGUAAAGCUGCAAGGAAGGUGGGGAUGACGUCAAGUCAUCAUGGCCCUUACGUCCGGGGCUACACACGUGUUACAAUGGCGCGUACAAAGAGAAGCCACCUGGCGACAGCGAGCGAAUCCU